rnacentral:rRNA from 1 species
ACGGAAGGCAGCAGUGGGGGAUAUUGCACAAUGGGGGAAACCCUGAUGCAGCGACGCCGCGUGAAGGAAGAAGUAUCUCGGUAUGUAAACUUCUAUCAGCAGGGAAGAUAAUGACGUUACCUGACUAAGAAGCCCCGGCUAACUACGUGCCAGCAGCCGCGGUAAUACGUAGGGGGCAAGCGUUAUCCGGAUUUACUGGGUGUAAAGGGAGCGUAGACGGAACGGCAAGUCUGAUGUGAAAGGCUGGGGCGCAACCCCGGGACUGCAUUGGAAACUGUCGGUCUUGAGUGCCGGAGGGGUAAGCGGAAUUCCUAGUGUAGCGGUGAAAUGCGUAGAUAUUAGGAGGAACACCAGUGGCGAAGGCGGCUUACUGGACGGUAACUGACGUUGAGGCUCGAAAGCGUGGGGAGCAAACAGGAUUAGAUACCCUGGUA